AUUACUGUGCGACUAAUACAUCAGGCAGCACUUGUAAUAUGGAAGGAGUUUGUUGUAAUGGUUGCAAUAAUAAUUAUUUCGGCGUGAAAUGUGAGAAUCAAUGCCUAUCGCACUGUGUCCCAAAUUCAUCAGGUAGAAGUUGUUACACGGAUGGUACUUGCAUCAACGGAUGUGUUGGACUUACUUGCGACACUACGUGCCCAACAAACUGCGCACCUGUAUCCAAUGGGAGUAGUUGUUCAAGCGAUCAUAAAUGCAUCAAUAGAUGUUCCUGGAAGUUCUACGGACCAGCGUAUGAUAUUAUCUGUCCAACAAAUUGUGCAAUUGUAUACAAUGGCAGUACAUGUUUUAGUGAUGCUAUUUGCAUAAACGGCUGCAAGCUUGGAUACGGUGGUAAACAGUGCAAUAUUAAAUGUUCAGAGACUUGCGAGGCAGUCGCCUCUGGCAGCAGAUGUUCUGAUAAUGGUUCAUGUGCUGCAGGCUGCAUUGAUGGAUACUUGGAAGAAAGAUGUGAUAUAUCAAAGGUGCGCAAGAACAACACAGACGAUGCGGGAACCUCUCUUGAGAACACGGGCGGACAACCUGUACCAGUCAUCGCAGGCUCAGUUGGAGGGGUGGUGGAGCUUAUUGUCAUUGGUGUGGUCAUAACGUUCGUGAUUAUGAGAAAAAGACGGAGCAAAGAACCAUCAGAUCAGUUUGCUAGAUUUGAUGAAGACCAGCCAACCAGUACAAACGAGUACCACACAAUUGGAACAUUACCUGAACGAUCUACAGUUAUAAGUCAUUCGCAUGUGAUAGCGAAUCCGAAUUAUGACCCUUCAAAAGACGUGCUCUCAUUGAGACGGAAUGGCGAUAACCUUCAGAGCGAGUCAGACACAGAUACAGAUGUACUGGAAAUAGGUAUAUUUAUUUGAUUUUACUUAAAUAUACUAAUACAGCUGAUGUAUAUUUUAUUAAUGUACAUUUACACAUUAUUACUCGAAUAGAUCUAUGAAAUAAUAUCUUUAUGUAUGUAUGUCGUCAAAACGAAAACAUUUCACAACACAAAAUACCUAGUGUGAACGUAUUUUAAGGCAUCCAUGUUAAUCCCAUUUGAUGUUCAAGCCAUUUAACGGUUUAUCAAAUUAACGAUUUGUGGUUCGGCAAAAAAAAUCCCCCGUGCUAUAGUAUGAUGUCAUGCGCACUAUUUUUAUACACGAGGAUGAAAGACGCACACAAGCUCGGCAUCAAGACCGCCCUAAUUCCCCCAAGAGGAGAAUGUUUACUACAUUGGUUUACAGGACAUCCAGAAAAGGAAGAUUGCAGUGGAUCAACUCGCGGAAUUCGUGGCAUCGAAGCCGUUUGAAUAUUUCCAGGAUGAAUUUGACGUUAUAACUGUUUAUUGAUGUUUUUUGUGUGUGGAUCAUAACGUUUUAUAAUGAACGCUUUAUAAUAAAACAGUUUCUAUAUUAAACAUUCUACCUUUCUCCUACUUAGGAUUGUCGGUAUGCACAUUAUUCGUUUACGUAUAUAGUGUUUAUAUGUUAUAAUUUGGGUAUAAUAUACCGGUUAAUUAGUUUGAAAAAAUACCCUUUACUUGUUUUCUUUUUUGUUUUUGUGAAAAUAGUUCAGCUCCACUAUUUUCGUGAAUGACAGAAAUUCCCAUACGGUCUAACGAGGCCACACAAUGAAGCCAGAAAGCCUGAUAAUGUCGCUAAAAACCGAUGCCAAGGAAUAUAUGCAUAUGAUGAUACGAGGUUCAAUGUUAAAGGAGGCAAAAAUGACUACAUCAACGCAAAUUUCAUUGAUGGUUUUCUUAACAGGAAUGCCUACAUCGCCUCACUCGGUCCGAUGAAAAAGCAAAUGGGGGACUUCGGGAUAUUCUUGAAGAUGAUUUGGCAAAACAAGGUUGAAAAGGUGGUAAUGGUCACCAACUUGGAUGAAGAAGGGAAAACGAAGUGUGAGAAGUACUGGCCUAAUGUCGAUGACACAAAGGCGUAUGGUGAUGUGCUAGUCAAGGGACUAAGAAGUGUAUGCUGAAUAUACACGUCGAACGAUCCAAAUGACCCACG